UAUAUAUAUAUAAACCUACUACUGCUAAGCCAUUCCACUGCCGUCUUCUCUACCGAAAAGGUAACCGUUUCCUACGCUGAUGAUCAAUUGUUUUGUCUCAUUUUGUCUCAAAGUCGUAUGACGCCCCCGUAUCAUUCCUGUUUUUAUUCGUUACUGUAAAUUUUAUCUUCGUCUCUUGUUUUUCUGUUCGUCUCUGUUGUCACAUUCUUUCCUUCUACCAAGCAAAUCUAAUGCCCAUAGCUUAGCUUUUCCUUGGGGCUGGCCCUUUCGGAGCAAAUCUCAGAAUUAAACAACCGAAAUUUGCCAUGAUGAAUCGGUUUCUGACUGAAGAAUGAAGGCUCUGAAUUACUGUCCGUUUUUCCGUGUUUGUCAAUUCGUGAAUUUCACGUUCUUUAUAUAUAAGUUUUAUAUAUAUAUAUAUAUAUAUAUAUAUAUAUAUAUAUAUAUAUAUAUGUACAGCUUCCAAUAUAUAGGUUUUCAUUUCUUUUUCUAUCGAAGAGUCGAAUCCAAAACCUUAAUUUUUUUCUUCUCGCAUCAAUAUAUACAUUUUUUUUUUUUGCAUUCUAUUCUAAUAUUUGUUGAUGCAGACCAUCAGGAUUUAAAUUUUUGGGGCCAGAAAGCUUUGGUCCAUCCCUGAGUAGCUGUGAAUAGUUGUUGACCCCUGAGAAAGCACAAGUAUACAAAUUACCUCAUCGCGUUUCUAGUUUCAUAUUUGGGACACAGCAAAUGCUACAUUCAACAGAUAUUUGAGACUGCAGUCAACAAAAGGUCAGCCAACUAAUUAGAAAAUUUUCACUCACUAAUACAAUUAGAAGCAUAUCCUCCCACUCUCUCUCUCUUCUGUUACAAAUGCAACUGUUUUAAACUUGCAAGUUGUCCAUCAUACCACCAAAACCUUCUUUUACUACCAUUCUACAACUAUUACUAUGCUAGCUCAUUCUACUCUUUCCAUGUCUCUUCUAUUACUAAAGGCUACAGCUCUUUCUACACUGGGCUCGAAAACUGUGCAUUAUAUACUUUGAAACCAGCCCGAUUCUUUACUUUGUGUGUCUCACUUCACGCACAAAAAGCCUCCUCACUAAAAACUUCAACCAGUUCUUUCUUCUUAGUUUGUAACCCUCUGAAAUCCCAUUUUUCUAUCUUCAAAUAUCAAUCCUUGGAAGUUCAAGCUAAAUAUCAAUUUUAUCGACCUCCCUAGUCUGGGAGGGAUUGUGAAUGUCAUGGGAACUGAUCUUCCUCCCCCAUUUAGUUUUUCAUACUCUUCGAAAUAAAUACCACCAGCAGCAGCAGGAACAACAACAGCAAUGGCUACAACAACAAUAACAACAUGGACAAGAAGAGCUAUUACUGCAUCAGUUAAAUCAUCAUGAUCAUCGUCGUCGUCGUCAUCGUUGUGGUCAUCGUCGUCGUCGUCGCCGUCGUCGUUGUGGUGGUUUUCGUGAUCAUCAUUGACAACGAUGACGACGACAACUGUAGCAACAACAGCAGCAAUAAUCUCACAACAAUACCAAUAGCAUUAGCAACAAGCACAACAGUAAUAACAGUAAUACCGACAACCAUAAACAAGAGCCUCAACGAAAUCACCAAAAGCAGCAAAACAAGGAUAACAAGCACAGUGACUAUGAGAAGAAUAGUACCCGCCCCCACCACCACCACUACCACCAUUUCCACUAACAACAACAAAAUCAACAAAAAAUAACAACUGCAGUAAUAACAUCGUUCAGUUUUUCAUCCGGGGUGAGUCAUAUAACAAAUUAAAAUGGCGACUGCAAUUUGUUAAGCCUUAUCAUCACUUGAGGAUUUCAAAAAAAAAAAAAAAAAUUAAUAGCUGCACUCCAGUUCGGACAGCAAAGAAAGGUGAAGGUAGGAGUAGGAGAUUUAGAUAAUCAAGAUAACUUGAUAAAUAAACGCCUUUAAAUACAUGCAUUUAAAUACAUUAAAUUCAUGUAUAAAGCUUUUAAACGUCCAUAUAAAAUCCACAGUAUUGUCUAUUACAAAUUAAAUUGUAUCUCUAUGCCAUUGUCAGUUAGAAAACUGAUUUAUUACAAAGGUCUUUUAAAAUGUCAAAAUGCAAAAAGAGAAUGACUUCAGUUCGAUUAUAGUUACUCAUUCCAUCAACAGUUAUGCCAUGUUUUUUACAAUAGAGCUUAUGUAUGUAUGUAUUUAUAACUGAAAUAAUGAUUGCCCUUCCUGUUACUAUCUAUCAUACCCUUCAUAAAUAACUGAUACAUCACACCUCCUGAAGAUGAAGAUGGCAUGAAAGUAGAGAUGCGAGAUAAAAAAAAAAAUGGUUGAAUAUAGUUGAAUUAUUUGUUCUUGUUAAAAUUCCGUUAAAACGUAUCCCAGUUCAAAAUAUGAAAAUCAAUGGAAAAAUACGCUUCAAGUUACGAAAUUGCGGGAAUUCCGUACAUGUUUCUAAUAGACAUUGCGUAUCACAUGCGCUAUGGUAUACGGUAACCGGCCGGCGCGAAGUGAUCAUGAAUUUCUGAAAAUUCACACAAGUCGGCUUCCUUUUCUCAUAACUUUUGAAAAAAAUGGAUAUUUUUAAACGAAAUUUUCUUGGAAUACCCCUAAGGGCGUGUUGAUUAUGAUUAUUUCGGAAUUCAAUGCGAAAAAAAAUUGGAAAUUCAAAUUCCCCUUUCCACACCCGGGUAGAAUUUUCACAACAAAUUUCAAUAUAAUCGUAUUUGACACCAUAUGAAGUGAAUAUUUGUAGAAAAUUUCAUUACAAAAUAUCCAUUUUUUCUGGAAGUUAUGAGGAAACAAAUCCAGUGGGGACGGGGUACAUUUGUGUAUGUACGCCUAUUGCAUUAACAUUAAUACUAAGAUUACAUUGCUAUUACAUAUAUCUACAUAUCGACUUGUUUCGCUUCAUUUUCAUUUUGUAUGUAAAAAUACUUAAUUAUAUAACUGCAUGCUCGGUUUGCUUCAGAAAGGUGAAAUAAUGUGAAUGAGAUUAGCUGAAUUUUUCACUGCAAAUAUAAACAUAUUGGGUUGGCAAGAAAGUAAUUUCGUUUUUUUUUUAGUGUGAGAUAAAAAUAUUUGUUUUCUUCAUACAAAGAAUGAACUUCAAUCAAUUAUAUAUUUUCCAUUUUGUUCGACGACCUUUUGCCACCUUUCUGGCAACUUCAUUAUUCCACGCUCAUAGAACUUCUGGUUCUUAUCAGCUGAAAGCUGAAGCGAGUGCAAUUUCAGGCCAUCAUCAUUAUUGAAGUUUCACCAAAGAAUUUUGCAAACUUCGAAAUAAAUGGUAAUCUGAUGGUGAGAGGUCAGGGCUAUAUGGUGAAUGUCACAUCACUUCCCAACCAAUCUCCACUGAUUUUUCUCCAGUUAGCAUUGAGGAGUGUAGUCUAGCGUUGUCAUGAUGGAAUACGAUUCCUUUACAAUUUGCCAAUACUGGCUGUUUUUCUGUGUUUGCUUCCUCUAGUUUCAUUAGUUGUUGACAGUAAACAUCUGAAUUGAUCGUUUGGUGCCUUGGAAGCAGUUCAAAAUACACAACACCUUUGUAAUCCCACCAAAUUGACAGUAUGACCUUUUUUUGAUGCAAAUCAACUGUCGAUGUGGUUUGUGCUGGUUCAUUACGAUUGGACUAUGAUCGUUUUCGGUUGAUGUUAUUGUAGACAAUCCAUUUUCCUCACUCGUGAUGAUUCGUUUCAAAAAAGGUCGAUUUCAUUGCGUUUGAGAUGCAUAUCGCAAAUAUUGAUUCGUUGUGCUACUUCGUUGAUUCGUUGGAGGACCCAAGUAUCAGGAUUCUUAACGAGUCCAAGACACUUUAAGUGAAUUUCAUUUGUUGUGUGUAAUACAUUUAAUCUCUCUGCAAUCUCUCGCCCAGUUAUAUGACAAUCAGAUUCAGUUAUGGCUUGACCAGAGCGUUGGCUAUCUUUGAAUGAAAAAUCUCCUGAACGGAAUGUUUAAAACAAUUUCUGACAUGGGCGUUCUGUUAAGCAAUCAACAGUAUAAACUUCGCAUAUCUCCUUGUGAACCUCAGCAAGUUUCUUGCUUUUACGGAAAUAAAAAAAAGCAAAAUAUAGGGAAAAUGUUUGUUUUUGCACUCCAUGUUAAAAUUGACAUUGAACUAACAGCUGUGAACAAAAUUACGCGCAAUUUGUUUCUAAAGUAAGCUAAGAGUAACGGCUAUCAAAUGUGAAAAGGAAAAAAGAUCAUAACAUUGACAAAAGUCAUUAAAAAAAAAUCGAAACUCUAUCUAUUUGCGAAAAACAAAAUUACUUUCUUGCCAACCCAAGUGAUAGGAUAAUGGUAUGUCCGAUGAUGUUGUGUUUAAUAACGAAGACUAACUGUAUUAAAAGUGUGUGUGUGUGUGUGUGUGUGUGUGUGUGUGUGUGUGCAUGUGUGUGUGUGUGUGUGUGUGUGUGCGUGUGUGUGUGUGUGCGUGUGUGUGUGUGUGUGAAUUUACUGGCAAUAUUUAGGCAGUAGUUUGUUAUUAUUUAUAAAUGCACGUUCUUUUAACAUAAUUACAAUUCAUCUUAUAGCUCUAUUUUACGUUUCCCAAUUUUGACGUUCCACUUUCCUUUAUAUUGCAUCUCUUGCAAACGCUCUUUUCACAUGCAUGCCAUAUGGGCAUACCUACACAAGUAUGCACCCCCUCGAAUUUGUUUCUUCAUAACGUCCAGAAAAAUGGAUACUUUUUAAUAAGAUUUUCUACAAAUACGCCUCUUGUGGUGUAGAUUCCGAUUACACCGGAAGUUGUGAAAAUUUUUCCCGUGGCUAGGGAGAGAAGAUUCGAAAAAUCUACACGAGUUGGUUUUCUUUCUUCAUAACAAAAAGGAGGGGUUAAUUUUUUUAAAAUAAAAUUCUCUACAAAUGUCUUUCAGAAUGUAUACAUUAUGGUAUAUAGGAAUUUAAUGUGGAAAAAAUGGUGGGCACGCACACAUCCAUACUAACACACAUCUCAAAUUUACGAAGUUUCAAGUUGCAUUUUGUAGACAUAUGUGAUGUGUGUCAAUAUGUAUGUAUGCGCACUCAACAAGAAUAUUUCCAUAAAAAUUUCAAUUUAUUAGAAAUUUAUACACUCUGAAAAGUAUUUGUAGAAACAUUUAUAAAAAAUGAUAUCCUUAUUCAAGAAAAUUACGAUGCAAGAAAGCUGACAAAUGCGAAUUGUCCGAAACUCCUCUUCCUAGCUCCGGAAAAACGUUUUAUGAACAUAUUUCAUUAAAAAAAUAUUAAUUUCUCUGGUAUUUAUGAGAAAACAAUUUCUUGAGAGACACACUUGGGCGGGUUUGCUGCCAUAUGUAUAACUUAUGUUUAGGAAUAUAUGACACAAUGAUAAUAUCAAAUCAAUGUUGAUCAUGCUAUCGUAAAUAUAGCUUGUUCGUACUCGUGUGUGUGUGUAUACAUAUAUGCAUAUAUAUAUAUAUAUAUAUAUAUAUAUAUAUAUAUAUAUAUAUAUAUAUAUAUAUAUAUAUAUAUAUAUAUAUAUGCAUAAGCUGUCCGACGAACGGCAUCGUGAAACUCAGAGUAACAGGUUUUGUUGAAUUUUCUGCUGCUUUAAAUAAAGCAUAUUACUCUACCACUGGUAUUUGAGUACUCUUUUUUCCACCUUGUUUCACAUUUAUGUGUUUACUCCGGUAUAUAUAUAUAUAUAUAGAUAGAUAGAUAGAUAGAUAGAUAGAUAGAUAGAGAGAUAGAUAGAUAGAUAGAUAGAUAGAUAGAUAUGGCCGCAGUCAAAUGACUGAAACAAGUAAAAGAGUAUACACACACACACACACAUAUAUAUAUAUAUAUAUACAUGCAUAUAUAUAUAUGUAUACACACAUAUACAUAUACAUGUACAUAUACACAUACGCAUAGUCGAGGAAAUACUUUAGAUAUGCCACAAUUCCACCCACUUGAGGCCAAAACGCAGAACAGGGCUAAGCAGCAAAAUGCUGGAAAAUACUUUAUUGUCAUGUAAAAAUGGCGGCUUCACAGGGACAUCACUGUGUCGACUGAAGAGACGAUUGAAUGAAACUAGGGUCUGUGUAACCACUAUGUGUUUAUAGGGUCCGUGUAACUACUGUGGGUUUAUCGAACGUAUAUUAGAAAUCUAAUAUGCACGUUUGACUGUACCUUGAUUGUGGCUGAAAUAGUCUAUUCUUCGCUGAAAUUGUUUUCAUAUAUAUUUUUUUAAUUACAUUAUUUUGAAGUUAAAAAAAUUACGAGUAUUUUUCUCAAGUCUAUGGUCUUGAAAAUAUUCAGAUACAAAUUUUUUCAUUCAAAUUCAUUACAAAACUGAGAUGGUUGUUUCUCAAUCACAUACACAUUGUCUAUCUCACAUACACAUACAGUACACACACUCACACACACAUACUCUCUCUCACGCGUUGACUUCCUCUUCCCCUCACUUUGUCAUUUUCUCUUUCUCUCUCUCUCCGUCACACGCACACACCACGCACGCACACCACACACACACACAUACACACACACACACAGACACACACACACACACACACACACACACACACACACACACACACAAACACACACACACACAGAUAUUUUUCUUACACGGUCCGUUUACGUUGUAGAUAUUCUGUCAUGAUUUCUUCACAGUCACCAAGGCCUUUUACGUUCUUGAUUAGUUAUAACGCACAUCAAGUACCGUAAACAGUAAAUAGUUAAUACUUACGGUUCAAAUUUUCGCUAUUCUUAUUCAUACGUUUGACUGUUUCUUAUUAAGUCUAGAAGACUUGAAAAUAUUCAAGUAGAAUUUUUACGUAAAAUUUAUUUGAAAUUUAUAUUAUUUACAGUUCAAAUUUUUACUAUUGCCUCCAUAGAGUACAUAUACUCCCACACGCACCACACACAUAUACACACAAACACACACACUGUUUCUCUCACAUGUACCCAGAUGAAUCAUUUUGCGUAUAUUAUACAUCGCUUUAUGUUUUAGAUACUUAUUUCUUUCAUUUUUUUAAUUAUUUACAGUUCAAGGUUUCAUUAUUUUGAUUCAUUUUUUCGAUUUUUAAAAUUAAUUUUGUUGAUUUGUUUUAUUUUCCUCAUACAUUAUUACAUUGAUUUCAUUUGUGUGACAUUCAAUAAUCUUGUAGAAAUUGUUUUCUGAGAAUUGUUCCUCGGUUCUUUCAAUGAAAUGAUUAAAAAAAUCAAUUAAGUAUCUAUGAAAUGUUUCCCAGGAACAACGAAAGAAUACUGUUCACUCAUUGCUGUGAGAGAAGGAGCUAAUGUCACUUUACUACAGAAUUCAUUGAUUCUCUUGAACAGUCUGGAUUGCAACAACAUAAGCUGGAAUUGAAGAGAGGAUCUCCCGUAUUUUCAAUGAGAAACUUAGAUCCUGCAAGACUUUGCAACAGAACACGGAUGAUAGUACAAGAAAUGCUGGAGAAUCUAAUCGUAGCUAAGAUCAAUGUGGGUACAUUAAAAAAUAAUAUUGUCAUGAUUCCUAGAAUUAAGCUCAAAAUAUUAGGUGAUGAUGUACCUGUUGAGAGGACCCAGUUCAUGAUGCAGUCAUGCUUCGCAAUUAUUAUACGUAAAGAACAAGGAUAAACCAUGCAGUGUGGCAUAAUUUAUCUUGAGAAACCAGUAUUCCAGUAUGGCCAGCUGCAUGUGGAUAUAAGUCGGAGAAUGAGGAAUGACAAUGGUAAAGUAUUCUUAAAGGAAGGCAGGUCUACAAGAAAUGUUAUCAUAAGUGUUUUUCUUUAAGCAAACAAGUGGUACAGUUGUCUUUCUUCUUUAAUACGAAAAGCGUUAUCAAUACCCUUUCAGCUAAUGCAGUCAUAGUCGCAGUUUUUUUUUAUGUGUUUAACGGAUAAUAUUAUUUGGAUAGUUCUAAUUAAAGAAGCCCAGAAGUUAGAUUAAAUCCUGAGUGUUCGGGCUAAAUUUGAAAGUUUGCAUAAAAGGAGGGAGGGGAACCACAAUAUCCUAUUCAAAAUAAAAGUAUUUAAAAAAUCCCAAAAUGAAGCAUAUUAUAGCUUAAAAAUAAUAGUUUACCCAAAGUAACUGCUUCCAGCUUCCAUUAAGGCCGGAAGAUGACUCUGAAAUCCUGUGAAUGCGUUUCUCAGUUAUAUAUAUAUAUAUAUAUAUAUAUAUAUAUAUAUAUAUAUAUAUAUAUAAAUUAACAGUUAUCGCCAAGCUAAUAUGGCAGUCCAUAAAUAUAAGACUAAAGCUGCCGUUGAUUAGCUCCAAGAGGCCAUCGCCUCUUAUAUAGCUAGCUAUAUGACACACGAACCUGUGUCCAUUAUAUCCUUCGAACAGGGGAGGUCAGCUGCUUCCCCUUGUUGGUCAGGCAUCUGCAGACAUGUUUCAGGGUAUUUGCAUAACAAAACAAAAGACGGCAUUGUCAGGGCUGGAAUGCAUUUUUUCGCAUACGUGCUUGAUUAUGACAUAUUUUGCGCGUAACAAAUUGCAGUUUAGACACCUUACAUAUACACAUAUGUGUAGACAUCAGCGGAAUCAGAUGAAAUAUCCAUUAAGUGGCUGUUGUUGUUGUGGUUGUUGUUGUUGUUGUUGUUGUUAUCUUUGUUGUUUGCUUCUUGGCGUAACCUGAUGAAAGGCAUUCUAGUCCCUCACCAUUCUGUCCUUUAGUGUUUUGCAAGGAAUCUGGAAAAACAUUUGGAACGCGUGCUUUCCUAAGACACUAGGUUGAAAUUUGAAUAUCUUUGGCUGCUAUUUCUUGUAUAUCGUGUAGCCAUGUAGACGCUCUUUUAUGCAAAUCGAAACCUAAUCCCGUACUAAGUGUAUUACACGGUAUCCUCCACACAAAGUGACCAGCAAAGGGGAAAAUCUGUGUGGCAUUUCGAUUUGCUAGAAACAAUAGUCGAAUCUCAAGCAUACUGUACAACAGUGGUUUUCAACCGUUUUUCACCCAUGGAUCCCUUUCAUUUUUUUUACUCGGGUAGACCCUCGUACCCAUUCAAUGUUUGUAAAAAAGUGUUUAUUAAAUUUUUAUUAUUCAAAAUUAUUAGGAUUUAUAUAAAAAAUUUUUUUAAUAUUUUGUGUAUUGUAGAAGUAUAACCAAUUUAUUGCACAUAAAUUUUAACAAUUAAAUCUUAUAUGGACCUCUAGGGCCACGUGGACCCUGGUCUUUAAAAAGUGGACCCCUUGGAUGAUGUAGUCUGGAGUUCACUCGUAAACGAUAAAACGAGAUGGUUAUGGCUGGAAUGUCACCACCACUGCUAAGCAUCCAUACACGUGUGUAUGCGUUUGCACACACACACACACGCGCGUAUAAAAGGGAGCUCUAUGUGGUCGCUCGAUCUGCUAGAAGCAACUACGAAACCUAACUGCCUGUUCCUUAAAAUAUUAAUUUCACAUCAAACAUAAAUCCUAUGAAAAGGCAUAUGAUGGGGAAAAAAGGUGGGGGUCGGUGGGAUGAUCAUGAUUAGAUUGUCUUUGAUUGUAAGUAUGCUCGAUAAGAGCUUAUAUCGGAUUACCCAACUACAAUAACGAAGGAUUGUGGAAACGAUGAGCGCUGUGGUGAUGGUGGUGACGACGACAACGAUGAUGAUGUUGAAUAAUAUGAUGGUGGUGAUGAAAUGAUGAUGAUGAUGACGACGACGACGACGACGGCGAUGAUGCUUAACCCCAGGUCAGACCUGAUUCAGCAGUCCUAUUUUCAAAGGCGUUCUAGACGUGAUCAUUUCGUACGCUGUGUAUGUAGAAUAUUGUCUAAUUGUUUUUACUUAUUUUUUUUCAAAGACGGCAGAGUAUAAUUCAAGGUUAAUCGGCAACAAUUUCUUGAAGUUGAAGCUCCUUCAGUAGCUUAUGAUGAUCGUGAUGAUAAAUGAUUGUGAUGGUGGUCAUGGUGGCCACCAAACUGUUGCUACUGCAAAUUUUUACCAAAUAUCACUGCACAGACAACUAGAAGAGGAGUAUGAAGGUAGAAGAGCACUCACAUACACCCUCCAGUUAUCACUGUCUCUUUUCUUUCCUGCUUAUACUCACACUUAUAUUCGUACAUAUACACAUUUACCUCCCCACUCAUUCACUCACUCACUCACUCGUUGAGUACAUAGUUGUCUUCGCCUGUUAUAGCUUUCACCAAUACCUCUCAAUAUCUGCCACCAUCACCAUCAACUCACGCCACCGUCUCCUAUCUCGUCGAAGAAAUCUCUCCGUGGUCAUUUAAUUUGCUAGAGCUAGCAGCCACAUCUCCCUAAAAUAACACCCUACCAUUAAAAAUAUAUAUUAAAAUAAAAUAAAACAAACCGAAACGAGGUAUUGAAAUUAUAUAGUCCUAAAUACACUGUCCCUGACAAGAAAAUGGAGUGGUCACGGUUGGAAAUCUUUUCAUUAAAUAUCUACUCAAUCAUGGCUGACCUGGGGCUAAACAACUACAGUGACAACUACCUUUUGCCAUCUAACUCUCGUCUUCAUAUCCUUACUACCUCCUACUAACAUUUCCGAUGCAAACUCGGUGCAGUCGUUCGACAUGUUAAAAGCAACAGUCAAGUUUCCCGCAUAUCGACGCACCAUAUUGAAAAAAAGAAACAAAGUAAGAUUGCACAAUUUUGUUAGACAACAACCUUCAACUACCAACUCCGGAUUACCUCACCGCUAAUUCUUAUCCUCCAUCCACAAUCAGCCAAUCCUUCCUCUCUCUCUCUCUCUCUCUAUCUUCUCUCGCUCCUCCUAACUCGCACUAGUCUAUUUUAUUCUAUUCUGUUCUCAUCUUUGUUUCUCCCACUGCCUUCCCACGCCACCACCCGUCUCAUCAUCAUCAUCACCACCACCACAACCAACAUCACCAUGGUCAUUGUCGUCAUCAUCAUCAUCAUCACCAUCAUCAUCAUCAUCAUCAUCAUCAUCAUCAUCAUCAUCAUCAUCAUCAUCAUCAUCAUCAUCAUCACCACCACCACCGUCGUCAUCGCCAUCACCAUCCAUAUACUUUGUAGCACAGCACAACAACCACACGCACAUAACCAACUAAAAAAGAAAAAACAGCGAAAUUUUCCCUCGAAUCACAUCCUACCGUUUUAAAUACUGAACACAUUUGACAGUGUAUUCCUAGAUAUCUCUAAAACACUAAAAAAAAAAAAGAAAAAAAUCAAGGAAAAAAAGCAAAUAAAAAAAUAGGGUCACGGUUGGAAUGCAUUUCAUCAUAAGUCUGUCUGGUCAGGGUUGACUUGGGGGCUUAACAUCAACAACUGCCAACAACCAAAUAGCAGUUUCCAACCGAGCCACUACUACAACCACCACCACCGACAACACUAACAACAACAACAACAACAAUAACAACAACAACAACAAUUACUACUACUAAUACUACUACUACUACUACUGCUGCUGCUGCUGCUGCUGCUGCUGCUGCUACCACCACCACCACUACUACUACUACUACUACUACUACUACUACUACUACUACUCACACGGUGAUACCCCUACUAUAACUGUCACAAUCACCCCGCCCUAUCCAUGGCUAACAUCUCACACUAUCACCUCUAACCUUUUGAUCCCGUCGUCACUAGCACACCUCCCUCCCACCUGUGUAUCCCACCCGAUAUUUUCAUCCUAACCAUUCGCUGAAUACAACCGCCACCAACCACCAUCGCCAUUAUCAUCAUCAGCAGCACCAUCAUUAACAUAACCAUCACCAUCAACCCCUCCAUUAGCAGUUUGUGUAUUAAUUGUGUGCGUCUGUCUGUCUGUCUGUCUGUCUGUCAGCCUGUCUUAAUUGUCCUUCUAUGAAGUCAUCCGACUGUCUGUCUGUCUGCCUGUCGUUUAGUCUGCCUGUCUUUCUGUUUGUCUGUCCGUCUGCCUCUUUGGGAAUCUUUCUAUUAAUCUGUGUGUCGCUUCAACUGUCUGUCUGUUUGUCUGUCGGUCAGCCUGUCUUAUUCGGAAUUUUGCCUGUCUGUCUGUGUCAUUUCGACAAUCUUGACAGCCUGUUUCGUAAUGUCUGUCUGUAUGUCACCCUGUCGUUUCAACUACUUGACUGCCUACCAGCCUGUCUGUCUGUAUGUCUGCCUGUCUGUCCCAGCGUCUGGCAUUUAUUGAUCCAGUCUCCUCAUCUUCCUAGCAUUUCCAGACUUUUUACCCUCCUUUCACCUAUUCCUCCAUUUCCCCUUCCUCCUAUUCAUAAUCCUUAUUCACAACCACAGUCACUCACUCACUCUUUACUCUCCUCAAAUCAUACAGAUGUCCACAUACAUAAACACAUAAACACGCACACAUGCAACCCCACCUCCCUCUCUCUCUCACUCACACACAGUUUUUUCCUUUUCCUUUGUCUAUCCAUUACACUUUUCCUGUUUAUUUUUUGAAUAAUGUAUCUCAUAUCUUCAACUUAUUUCCCCUUUCUCAUUGUCUCUUUUUCGAUUUACAUUAAUACAUAUAUAUGCGCGCGUGCACACACACACACACACACACACAAACAAGCAAAUACACUCAAUCAACCACACGCAUAAUCACACACAUAAAAUAUACAAUAGCACUGAGAAACACCGCAGGUUCUCUUCUGCAAGAAAGACAUAGAGCUAAAUGCAGGCUACUGUAAUUGUAGCAGCAAGAAGGUUAAUUUAUUUUACAUAAAAUUGAAAUUAUCGUCCUCUGCAUAUCAUCAGUAAAUUUUCGGUGAAUUGAAAUUUCAAGAGUUACUUCCCUUAUUCCUAAUGAGAAACAUUUUUCGUUAGCACUAAUUAUAUUUUUCUCUCAUUAGAGUUAUAAUUUCACUUAAUUAAAACGUAAUUUUGAAUCGCCACCUCAAAUAUGGUAACCGGCAAUUAAUUAUAUCUCUUUCAUGGGUAACUCACCUUUCACAAAAAAUUUCCAGUAUCAUUAUUUUAAUUUGGUUUAUCAGCGUUUGAUUUUCAGGUAUUUCAAUCGCAGAGGAAUUCAACUAACGAAGGCAAGACCAUCUGGUUGAUAAGCCUGCUUUCUAACCAUGUAGUCACGAGUUUAGUCCUACCCACCUUGAGCAAGAGUCUUCUUCUAUAGCCCCAGACCAAAGCCUUGUCAGUGGAUUUGGUCGACAGAAACUGUAAAAAGCUCGACGGGUAUAUAUAUAUAUAUAUAUAUAUAAGGUUGUUUAACAUGAAAUGUCGUAUUUUUAAUUACUUGUUAUUUCAGUCAUUUAAAAACUCAAUUAUGUAUUCCUUACAUUUAAUAUUGACUCUUUUUCUUUCUCAACAAUAUUGGCAUACAAAAUUCUCACCCGCAAACCUUAUGAAACUGAUAACAACCAAACUGUAUUGACUGAUUUUCUCGUAUGAGUACAAACUGGGUCACUCAGCUGCAGACACUCUACAAAAUAUUAAGCGGGACUUUGGUAAUCGUUUUGUUGACAUCAGAACUGUUCAGAGAUGGUUCCAUAGCUCUCGUUCAGGACAUGGUAGCCUUGAAAAUAAACCAAGGUGUAGGCCAAAAUCAGUUAUUCGGCAUGAUGGAUUAAAUGCUUUGGUUGAACAAAAUCCGAAAACAAAGGUUCGAAAACAUUCGUCAGAACUCCCAACAUCGCACCCAACUGUUUUUAGACACCUGUAAAAAUUGCACAAGUCAAGAGAACGGAUAGGCUUGUUCCAUAUCAACUGAACGAGAUUUAAAAAAAAAAACAAACAAAAAAAACAGAUGCCUCGAAGUGUGCUCCUUAUUGCUUUCUCGACUGGAGAAAGAUUAUUUUUGCAUCAAAUCAUUACCUGUGAUGAGGAAUGGAUACUUUUUGACAACUGCAGAACAGGACAGUGAUUAGAUGCUGGAGAGUCACCUAAACACUACCCAAACCCACCAUUGCGCCCUAAAAAGUUAGUGGUUGUUGUAUGGCGGUCUGCGAAAGGAGUUAUUCAUUAUUCAUUUUUGCAAGAAGGAAAAACGUUAAAAGCAACAUCGUAUUGCCUGGAAAUUGACUGUAUGCACGAGAAUUUGAAAAAGAAGCAACCCAGACUAGUGAAUAGAGAUGGCCCAAUUUUGCUCUACGACAAUGCACGUCCUCACGCUCCUCAAGCUACGGUUCAAAAGUUGCAAAGCCUGAGUUAUUAGAUUUUGCAACAUCUCCCCUAUUCCCUUGAUAUCUCUCCAACUGAGCAUCACUUUAAAAAGCAUUUUGAGUUUUUCAUAAGUAAUAAAACAUUCUUAAAUAGAGAAGAGGUAAUUGAAACAUUCCGGCCGUUUAUCACAGCAAAAGAGGAUUAUUUUUUAAAGAUGGAAUAUAUGAUAUGGAGAAACGUUGGGUAAAUGUCAUAAAUAAACAUAGAUCAUAUUUUGAUUAAAGAAAUCAGUUCCCUAAUACUUCUGAAAUAUUUUAUUGUUACCUUUCAAAUAUUGUUACCUUCAUGUGAAACAACCUAAGAUCGUUAGCCACUACAAACAUUUUUUUCUCUCCUUGUUUCUCUCCUUUUUUUUCCGUGUACCGUUCUGUAGAAGAGCGUAGGCUCGAAACGUAAAAGACUUUUUCUAUUCCUGAGCGUUAUACUAAUACAUAUGUUUGUUUUGUACACCACCUGUCUUUGUCUUUCGUAAACUUUCCCUAUAUAUAUAUAUAUAUAUAUAUAUAUAUAAACAGGGUGUGGUGAAUCAACUGUCGUCUAAAUUACGCAAAAAUAAAAAUAACACUAACAUCUCAUUUUAAUAGAUAUAUUUACCAACGUUACAUAAAAAAUAUCUUGAAAUACUAAAGAGUAAAUUUAUAUAAUAAAAUCGCUAUUGGCUUCAACUACGGUCUCCACACUUCGGAAUCUCCUCCAGCUCUUCUGGACCGUCUUCUUGUUUAUGUUGGUCAAUGCUGCCAUAAUCUUUGCCUUCAGUUCAUCUUUGGUGUUACAAGGAGUUUUGUUGGUCCCUUGCUCAACUGCGCCGCACAUAAUGAAGGGUUUGCACUCUGAGGAGUUAGGUAGCCAGAUGUUAGGGGUGAUGUGGUCACAGCAAUUGUCUGACAGUCAUAACUGUGUUCUCCUGCUUGUGUGGCAUGGUGCAGAGUCCUGUUGCCAGAUUAGGGUCUUCUAGCAGUCACCCUCUUGACCCAGCGCAGCACUACCUCCUCCAGGCACUUGAUGUAGACUUCCAUAUUGAGUCUGUGGCCGUGUAGGAAGACAAAUGGAGGCAUAAUGUCGCCAUCAC
rnacentral:lncRNA from 1 species